GACGAACGCUGGCGGCGUGCUUAACACAUGCAAGUCGAACGGAAAGGCCUGCUUUCCCUUGUGGGUUGCGGUUACUCGCGUGGCGAACGGGUGAGUAUCACGUGCCUUAUCUUCCCCCAACUUUUGUAUAAGCCUGGGCAACUGCGUCUAAUUCCCUAUAGGUCUGUGGUGUGGUUCCUGUGGUGUCAACCGAUUUUCUUGUGCUUGCGGAUGAGCUGGCGGCCUAUCAGCUUGUUGGUGGGGUAAUGUCCUACCAAGGCGGCGACGGGUAGCCGGCCUGGGAGGGUGGACGGGAACAGUGGGACGGAGAGACGGGGCAGAAUACUAGGGGAGGAAGCAGUGGGGAAGAAGGCACAAGGGGCGGAAGACUGAGGGAGCGACGCUGCGUGGGGGAUGACGGGCGUCGGGUUGUAAACUCCUGGUGACAGAGAGGAAGCCACCUGGUUGGAAGGGGGGUGACGGUAGUGGUAGAAGAAGCACCGGCUAACUACGUG
rnacentral:rRNA from 1 species